UGGAGCACCGCCUUUAGUCGAUCAAAUCGACCCCGGAACUUAUUCUUUACAAGGGAAAUCUAUUAACACCCAACCAACGGAGAAAAUAUGCAGAAAAGGCAACUCUGUCAUUUUGGAGGGCUAUUGGUGGAAAUUCUGAUGAAAUAGAUGACUCAUCAGACACUGAUGUUGAAACAUGAAAUAUUACUACCUAUCAACAUAGAUUUAUAUAUGAAAUUGCAUUUUCAUGCAUUUUACUGUUGUAUAUAAACUAAAACGUAUCUAUAUAUAUAGAAAAGUAACAAACAUUUCCAUGUCUAAGAAGUAAAAUUUAAAGCUGUUUUUACCUAAUAUUUCAGAGAAAUGCUUACCAUUUAAAUCAAUUACUACUUUAACACAUCUUACCCAUAAAUAACAAAACUUUUUAUUCUUCUGUUAGUUAUCCUCAUAUUCUUGUGUCAUAGUAUGUUUCUUAUUCAUAGGGUAGUGCUUAUUUUUCAGGAAAUACACAGCCAUGAAUAUGUUCAAAUGCCACUGAAUUAUCUUUUCCUUCUAUUGCAUAUCUGCAAAAGUAAACAGAAUACCAUGUAUAUCUUGAAUAUAAAAUACAAUACAGGAAGGCUAACAUUUUCCUCCAAUCUUAAAAUUCAGUCCAAGAUUUUGUAAGGAUUUGAAUAUAUAGUAAUCUAUAUUACCUGUAGUAGAUUAGCUAUAUUUGAGUCAAUUGAUUAUUUCCUCUAGACUUCACAGAAAAAAAAGAAAAUAGAAAAAUAAGGAGAAAAAAAAAAACAAGAUAAAAGAAGCCAUUAUUCAUUAUAUCAAGAAAUAUUUUCUUUUAUAACUUUUAUUAUUUUUGCAACACCAAAAACUACCAAGAGUCUUAGAUAUCUCAGAAACUGGGGGGAAAAAUCAUUCUAGGUCAUGGGCCAGAAAGGUUGCCGGAUGGUUUAGCAAGAGCAAUUGCUCACAUAUAUUAAAUGUUAAAAGAUUAUCUGAUAUACUGUUGAUUCAUUGAACUGUGUUUUUAUUGACUUGAGCCAGAUGAUUGUUUUACUACUUUUACUUUUAACAGACUUUUUCUCUUUAUAGCUGUUUAUUUCAUUUAUCAAUAAACAGAUUAGCAUCCAUAAACUAAAGAUAGUCUGAAUGACUCUGUCAAAAUAAUAUAGUAAUUUUGACACUUGUGUAACAUUAUUAAUAUAAGAAGCAGAAUGAGUGGUAGCAUAAUGACUAGGAUUGGAGGAAGCUGUAAAGCUCAAGGAACUGUUAUUUUUUAGAUAAAUCUUACAAAAAACUAAGAAGUGAGGUACAGUGUAAGAAUGAAUUAUGAUUAUUGAAAUCAAAGCAUUGCAGUAAAAGACAAAUACACUUAAUAUGAAGGGUGUUGAAUAUUAACUUACAAGAAAAUUUUGGUGUAAAAUAUGGAGAUUAAAAAUAUUGGCCAGUGUGAGCAAAAAAAAUGAGAAAACAAGCAUAUGAAUAGAAAUGGUCAAUACUAGUUGAAAAGACACUGUAUAUUGGUGGUGGAAGGUACUUUCGACAGAAAUAAUCCAAAAUUUAUUAAAUUGUGUCAGACCUGCUGAGAUUACACAACUACACUCACCAACUGCAACUACUUGAACCAA